rnacentral:lncRNA from 1 species
ACUACAUGCCAUCAAAUGUUUGAUACAUGUUCCAAUGAGAUGGAGAUGAGAUCAGACUGAAAAUAGCUUUGAAUGCUUCAAGAAAAGGCAGGUGCUAUAUACUUUCGUCAACAUUUUAUAAAAUUAAAUUUUUAUCAACAUUAUUUUUUCCUUCCAUUUUUUAAUUUUUCUUUUAUACAAGUGUAAGCCCAGUUGAAAACCCAAAAAGACCAAAGCCCAGAGAAAUAGAACAGCAGCAACCCAUCCCUGUAACUGUAAGGCGAGGAAGACACGUGCAACUGCAACAAGCAUCACAAUACACACCAUCCCAAAAAGUGGAAGAGCCUCUUCCCAACUGCCGAAACAUUUCUUUGUAAUCUUGUUGCCUUUCGUUCGUCGUUGAUCCUUCGUUCUGCCCUCACCUUCUCAGCCUUGUAUAAAUGUAGGUAGAGCGAGCGACACCUGAGUUUCUUCUACACAGUUCUUUUAUAAGUAAGAAGUAGGAAAAUGAUGUUCUUGAUGGGUUUGAGCAUCCAGAGCCUGUUGGAUUUGGCGGUGGCAGGGAUUUCUCUGAUGAUCGUUUUGGGAAUUUUUGCGUUUAUUACUUCUAUUCUUUGCUCUGCUGCUUUCUUGCAAACCGCCAAGGACGUAUCUUGAUCCUUCACUCAAGGUAAAAUUUCCAAUUCAGAUUUCGUCAGCUACAUCAAUCUUGUUCUGGGUCCUUCAAUUAUGCUGUUAACUUCAUCAAGAUGAAAUCUUUGGCUUGUUUGUCUUCCAAUUGGCAAAUUUGACGCAUUUUUCCUUUCAAAACUGUAGCUCCUACUAUGAAGUAUUUUUGUUGGAUUCAAUAAAAUUCUCCUCUCUUUUUUUUUUUUGGGUCAGAUCAUUCUCUCCUCUUUUGUCUGGUUGAAUUUCCCCUUGUGUAUUUGUGUAUAUUAUACCCUGAGGCAGCUGACACAAGUUACAUGAUUUCAUAGUUUUCUGCAACAACAACAACUAAUGAUUUUCACAUAUUCCGCAAUCUCAGAAACUCCAUCAGUAGAAUCAUGAGCCAAAUUGCCUGUUUACAAAAAUUCAAAAACUACACAAGGCUGUCUUCUUCAGGAGGAAGAAGAUAUACAACAGUCCAGAAAAAAAGCACAGAAUUUCUGUAAUGGCCUGUGCUUUGCUGCUUAUCUUUACCAUUAAUAUUUACCAAACAAAAGAAAUCUUACAAUUAACCUAUCAAAUGAAUAUUUAUCAACCAAAACAAACAGUGAAUAUUUAUGUCUUCCUUUUGGGUUUUCUGGAGUACACCAUGCCCCGGAUCCCAUCCGGAUCCGCCACAAAGCCCAAGGGCCUGUAAAACCCGAGAACCCGGGGCUCCGAAUACAAAGCAAUAUUACAAAUCCCUUUCGCCACCAGCUCCUCCACCAACCUCUCCAUCACCGCCUUCCCCAGCCCCAGCCCCUGAAACGAGGGGUCCACCACCACGUCCCAUAUGAUCGCGUUGAAGACGCCGUCCCCUGUCGCCCUAGCGAACGCCACAGGCCUCUUCGUUUUCCUGUACUCCAUCCACAGCAGCGCGUCAGUGUGCUCCAGCGCCGUUCGGAUCUUAUCCGGGUCCCGCUUCGGAAACCCGACCGCUACGAAGACCUUGUUGAGGUGGUCCAGGUUGAGCUCCGCGAUCGUGCGGUGGAGGAGGAAGCCUCGGGAGUCCAGGUCUUGGUCGGAGAUUGAGUAGUUGUUGGUGGUUGUUGAAGUGCGCCGCGAAACGGGGACGUUUAAAGGGGGAGUGGAGGUGGUGGUGCUUCUGAGGCGGAGACAAGAGAGGGGAGCGGAGAUUGUGCCACGUAGGAGCAUGUUUUAGAAGAUAUGAGAUGAUAAGCUGAUAGCAGUUGUGUCCCAUGAGUGACGCCACCAUUGGGUUUUUGUAUGGAUGCGUUGUACGGUGUUUGAGUGUUGGAAUUGUGGUUGUGCGUCGCCGUUUCAAGAUACGUAAUAGUGGAGGCAUGAAGGGCGCUUAAACGGUGUCGGUUUGUCAAGUUCAAUGACCCAAAAAGAAGAAAAAGGAAAACGUAUCAAUAAUAUCUGCAAAAUGCUCCAUAAGAAUUUUAUGUUAAGAAUUUCUAAUCUUAGUCAUUAGAUUCAAGAUACGGAAUAGUGGAGGCAUACAGUGCUCUUAAACGGUGUCGUGGUGUUGUUUUGUCAAGUUCAAUGACCGUUCUAUAAGAAUUUCUAAUCUCAUCCAUUGAAUUGCUUGUAUAAUGCAUAUUUAUUUAUGUAUGGUUGAGUUUAGAAUUUUUUAACUACUUCUAAACUUAAAAGCAUUAGUGGAUCUAGUUUCGUUUUUUUGUUUUUUUGUUUUUUUGUUUUUUUGUUUUUUUGUUUUUUUUAAGAGAAUCUCCCAUAUUUAUUUAUGUAUGGUUGAUUUUAGAAUUCUUUAAUUACUUCUAAACUUAAAAUCAUUAGUGGAGAAGUUACCGCCGUAAUAUCAAGUUUUUUAUUUUAUUUUUUAUUUAUAGAGAAUCUCGAUGGUAUGGUACGAGAGAGAAGAAGCAAUAUCUAAUUUAUAUUGGUGCAAUGAAUGUAAAAAUACUAAUGAGAAAAACAUGUGUCCUCAUUAAUUCAACAUUUCACACUGAUGGCAGCUUUGGAACCACAUAAGACAGAGCAAAUAGGAAGGAACUUUUGUUUUGCAACCUGGAAACUUUGACAGAUGCAAAAGCGCGUGCAAUGCAACCCCUGCCAAAUAUGCAUAUCAUGGAUUCUUAAUGAACUCAACAUUCACUUCACAGUGGUGGAAGCUUUGGAACCACAGAGCAGGAUAUGGAAUUUUGCUUUCUUUUGUGUUUCCGAAAAUAUUUGGCAGAAACAAACAAACAACAUGUAUAGUACACCAUUUUAAUUAGAGAUGAUAAAAAAGAAAGAAGAGAAGAACAUGAUUAAUUGGAUAUGUUUCCUCUCUCUAACCAUCUGGUUGAUUUUGCUUACCUUGGGCUGCUGCUGCUGCUGGGCUUGCUGCAGUUCAAAGUUCAAACAUGACUGCCAGCACUAUCAGCCUUGUGUAGAAACUCCUCCUCUUUCUCUUCUUUGAUCCCUAAUCUCUCAUCUCUUUUCUUCAACUUUCUGUAACCUACUUUCUUGCCUGAGGAACACUUGAAAUAAUUACCAUGCUGAUCUUGCUUAGCUGCUUGCCUGAGCCUACCCUCUCCUUCACCAACUUCACAUGGAAGUACUAAUUCAUGAUGACUACUUAUUGGGCCAGAGGAGGCAUCCGAAGCCAUGGAGUCAUCACUCUCAUCAUCAUCAAAAUAUUCAAGAAUUGCUUUCUUGUCACUGUUUUUCUCACCCCCUUCUUUGGGAUCACUAAUUUGAUAAACAUCAUUGGUUUGAGUGUGGAUUGGGGAGCCAAUAUACAUUGUCCACCCAGACUCACUGCCACUCCAUUUCUCUGGUUCAUCUCCUACAACUUGGGAAGACUCCAUUAAGACACACAAAGUAAGCUAGCUAGAGAACAAAAUUAAGUAUUAAGUUAGAACCUACCUGCAAUGUGUGUGUAUAUAACAUGAUGAUCACUGUAUGUGCAAUUCUCAACAUUAUCAGGAAACGCAUUUAUAUCUGUCUCUUUAUUAUUUCCCUUCAACAAAAGAGGCAGUUUUUCACACAAAAGGACAAUCAAACCCAUCUCAACAGUAGCAUUUGAAGAAGCCUCCUCACUUCACCCUCAUUAUUGAAUUGCCAGGAUGCAUGUAUUCCACCUGGCAAACCUAUCCCCAUAUUUUUCACUGUUUCAAACUGAUUAAAUCACUACAAGACAAGCUUCUGGGGGUAACGAGAGAUAUCUCUUGGGUUAAAAAGAGAUUCUAUCUUUGGAGCUAGGUUAAACAGUGAAGCACACAAGUAGGAAAUAAUUGGGCACCCAGCUAACUUGCCAAUGCUCUUUCACCUGAAAUAGACAACCUUUACUUCUCUCUGUGUACCUUAUAAAUAAUGACCAGCUUUUUCUUGGGG